rnacentral:rRNA from 1 species
UACGUAGGGUGCAAGCGUUGUCCGGAAUUAUUGGGCGUAAAGAGCUCGUAGGCGGUCUGUCGCGUCUGGUGUGAAAAUCCAGGGCUUAACCCUGGACCUGCAUCGGGUACGGGCAGACUAGAGUGUGGUAGGGGGAGAUCGGAAUUCCUGGUGUAGCGGUGAAAUGCGCAGAUAUCAGGAGGAACACCGGUGGCGAAGGCGGAUCUCUGGGCCAUAACUGACGCUGAGGAGCGAAAGCCAGGGGAGCAAACGGG